ACUCAGGACGUGGCACGAUGUUCGAGGCACGGCGUGCGUGGAUCAAGUGGCGAGUUCUUGGCAUACGUCUCAACAUUUUACAAUAAUUGCACAACUUAGAAGCCCUUUAACGAUCGGACGUUUUCUUCGUAUCUCGUUCUUAGCCAGUUUCCUGACCCAGACGAGAACGUCUCCUCCUCUCCACCUCCUGUCUAAGCGUCAUCUUCACAUUCUCUCUCUGUCUCUCUCUUUCGCUCGUUCAGAGUCGCACACUGGCACUUGCCGUUUCGACGAAUGGUCGAUCGCUGUGGGACGACGCACCGAGUACGUGUCGAACGAUCUUAAAUUAAUCGAACUUACAUAUCCCCCCUUCUUGUCAGUAUCACGUUUCAUUAUUGCUUAUCCGCGAAUCCAUCCACUGAUUCAACGAUUCUUCCUUCUUUUCCGGACGACGCGCUUCAUCGAGGGACGUCCUUUAGCCGACUGCGGGACAUUUGGACGAGCGCUUUCGCUUAAGGAAAUCCCAGCGGGAGUUUGGGUAAUUCAGCAGCUUGGCUGUGAUACAGACGACCGAAUUACGGCAACGAGUAGCAAUUUGGCUUAGGUUGGUCGACGUUGGAGGACGUUGAAACACGCGCGUAAUCUACGAACCAACUGGAUCGUCAGCUAGUCCAGACUGGUGCCUUUUUCACGUGAUAAUGUGCCCUGGUCGGUUCAAAAAUUAGGCGAAAG
rnacentral:misc_RNA from 1 species